rnacentral:rRNA from 1 species
CAGUCGCCGCGGGAAAACAGAGGGUGCAAGCGUUAAUCGGAAUUACUGGGCGUAAAGCGCGCGUAGGUGGUUUGUUAAGUUGAAUGUGAAAUCCCCGGGCUCAACCUGGGAACUGCAUCCAAAACUGGCAAGCUAGAGUAGGGCAGAGGGUGGUGGAAUUUCCUGUGUAGCGGUGAAAUGCGUAGAUAUAGGAAGGAACACCAGUGGCGAAGGCGACCACCUGGGCUCAUACUGACACUGAGGUGCGAAAGCGUGGGGAGCAAACAGGAUUAGAUACCCCCGUAGUCCCUGUCUCUUAUAC